AGAACGAACGCUGGCGGCAUGCCUAACACAUGCAAGUCGAACGAGACCUUCGGGUCUAGUGGCGCACGGGUGCGUAACGCGUGGGAAUCUGCCCUUGGGUUCGGGAUAACAGUUGGAAACGACUGCUAAUACCGGAUGAUGACUUCGGUCCAAAGAUUUAUCGCCCAGGGAUGAGCCCGCGUAGGAUUAGCUAGUUGGUGAGGUAAAGGCUCACCAAGGCGACGAUCCUUAGCUGGUCUGAGAGGAUGAUCAGCCACACUGGGACUGAGACACGGCCCAG
rnacentral:rRNA from 1 species